GUUUAACUUAGUCUUAAUUUAGUUUCAUUUAGACAACUCGACAAGUGACCAGUUUAAUAAUAAUAAUAUAUUAGAGAAUAAUAAUAAUAAUAAUAAAUUCAAAAAAUAUAAAUUAUAUAAUCAUCAACAACAACAACAACAACAACAACAAUAUAAUACAUUCAAUUAAGAAUAAAUAAAACAAUACAUACUGUAUGUGUGUAUAUAUGUUUAUAUGUGUGUGUGUGUGUGUGUCUAUAUAUAACAAGAGCAGGGCACUGGCGGAGGCCAGGGCUCUGGACAGCAGGCAAGAAAAAGAUCUCGCAGUAGCUGACAAAACACGACUCAGCGAAGAACUACAUCUGCUGAAAAAAGAGCACAAUGAUGUCCAGCUACUUUUAGCUCAAGCCGAAAAGAAUUACUUUGAGACCAAGCUUAAACUAGACAGGGUGUCAGGAGAAAAGCAGGCUCUCCUGGAGGAGAACAGAAUACUGGAGGAUAAGAGGAGCUGCAGGAGCUGCAGGAGCUGACUGAGGAGAAUGUGAAGAUAAUGGAAAAGUAAGCACAAAAGCAUUCAGUAAUGCCAUUUAUCUUUGUUAUACAAGCAUUGUGAAUGGAUCCUGGCAUGGCAGUUUUCAGGUUAUUAUAAGGCAAUAAAAACUAAAUGGGAAUAGUCUGGUUCAUGAAGCUGUCUGUCACUGUCAUGCUCUCUUUCUGUAGGGAGGUGAACUCCAGACGCAGAGCUCAGGUUGCUGAAGAGCAGAGAGAAAGGGCCGAUAAAGCCCAGCGGGAAGCUGAGCAGGAAAGGCAUUUAGCUGAGCGGGAGAGGGAAGAUCGCACCAGGGAGUGUCUCAGCUGGAGAAAGAAGCACCAGGCUCUGGCAGAAGUCAUCAGAGCCCAGGAAGAACUUAAGUCUCUCAGGCAGACCAAAGCAUGUCAAGCUAAUAUUAAGAGCUACUUCCUGUGUAUGACUGAAAGCGACCAGAGGGUUAAGAUACUAAAAAAUCGAGAUGGCACACCAAGGAAUUUCACGGUAAAAUUUCUUGCCUGUCAUUCCUACACAUUGACAAGUGUAAACACAUUAGUUUUCUUGCUAGAUAAUAACAUUUAA
ensembl:lncRNA